UACGUAGGGCGCAAGCGUUGUCCGGAAUUACUGGGCGUAAAGCGCACGUAGGCGGCUUUGUAAGUUAGAGGUGAAAGCCCGGGGCUCAACUCCGGAAUUGCCUUUAAGACUGCAUCGCUAGAAUUGUGGAGAGGUGAGUGGAAUUCCGAGUGUAGAGGUGAAAUUCGUAGAUAUUCGCAAGAACACCAGUGGCGAAGGCGGCUCACUGGCCCGAUACUGACGCUGAGGCACGAAAGCGUGGGGAGCAAACAGG
rnacentral:rRNA from 1 species